rnacentral:rRNA from 1 species
UACGGAGGGUGCAAGCGUUAUCCGGAUUCACUGGGUUUAAAGGGUAGGCGUAGGCGGGUAGGUAAGUUCAGUGGUGGAAAUCCUGGAAGCUCAACUCCAGAACUGCCAUUGAUACUAUCUAUCUUGAAUAUUGUGGAGGUAAGCGGAAUAUGUCAUGUAGCGGAUGAAAUGCUUAGAUAUGACAUAGAACACCCAUUGCGAAGGCAGCUUACGUACGCAUAUAUUGACGCUGAGGCACGAAAGCGUGGGGAUCAAACAGG